GAUCAUCAUCGACACUGACCCUGGCGUUGAUGACGCCAUGGCAAUAUAUCUUGCGUUGAGAUCACCUGAAGUGGAGGUGAUUGGACUGACUACCAUUUAUGGGAACGUUUAUACCACUCUGGCUACCAGGAAUGCAUUGCAUUUGUUGGAGGUUGCGGGGAGGACUGACAUCCCAGUGGCUGAGGGAUCUCAUGUCACGAUAACGAAAGGUACAAAACUUCGCAUUGCUGAUUUUGUCCAUGGCGUUGAUGGACUUGGCAACCAAAAUUUUCCACCACCAAAAGGAAAGCCAAUUGAACAGUCAGCAGCCGCUUUUCUGGUUGAGCAGGCAAAUCUGCACCCUGGAAAAGUCACUGUGGUGGCAUUGGGCCCACUUACAAAUAUUGCUCUGGCUAUUGAAUUAGAUCCUGCAUUUGUCAAAAACAUUGGGCAGAUUGUUCUUCUUGGUGGUGCAUUCUCAGUAAAUGGGAAUGUGAAUCCAGCAGCAGAGGCAAAUAUUUUUGGUGAUCCGGAUGCUGCUGAUAUUGUUUUCACCAGUGGAGCAGAUGUUAUAGCUGUGGGGAUUAAUGUUACUCAUCAAGUUGUUUUGACAGAUGCUGAUCGAGACAAAUUGGUGCAGUCAAAUGGAAAGUUUGCUCAGUACUUGGC
rnacentral:misc_RNA from 1 species